rnacentral:tRNA from 1 species
AGAGACUUAGGAUAAUAUUUAAACCAAGGGCCUUCAAAGCCCUAAAUAGGGGUAAAAACCCCCUAGCCUCUG